GACGAACGCUGGCGGCGUGCUUAACACAUGCAAGUCGAACGGAAAGGCCCUGCUGGUGUGGGUUGCUCGAGUGGCGAACGAGUGAGUAACAAGUGAGUAACCUGCCCUUGACUUUGGACUAACGUCAGCAAACUGGGGCUAAUACCGGAUAGGAGCUCCUCCUGCAUGGGGGGGGUUGGAAAGUGUCGGCGGUUGGGGAUGGACUCGCGGCUUAUCAGCUUGUUGGUGGGGUAGUGGCUUACCAAGGCUUUGGUGGGUAGCCGGCCUGAGAGGGUGACCGGCCAAAUUGGGACUGAGAUACGGCCCAGACUCCUACGGGAGGCAGCGGUGGGGAAUAUUGCACAAUGGGCGGAGGCCUGAUGCAGCAACGCCGCGGGCGGGAUGACGGCCUUCGGGUUGUAAACCGCUUUCGCCUGUGACGAAGCGUGAGUGACGGUAAUGGGAGAAGAAGCACCGGCUAACUACGUG
rnacentral:rRNA from 1 species